rnacentral:rRNA from 1 species
UAGGGAAUCUUCGGCAAUGGACGAAAGUCUGACCGAGCAACGCCGCGUGAGUGAAGAAGGUUUUCGGAUCGUAAAACUCUGUUGGUAGAGAAGAACGUUGGUGAGAGUGGAAAGCUCAUCAAGUGACGGUAACUACCCAGAAAGGGACGGCUAACUACGUGCCAGCAGCCGCGGUAAUACGUAGGUCCCGAGCGUUGUCCGGAUUUAUUGGGCGUAAAGCGAGCGCAGGUGGUUUAUUAAGUCUGGUGUAAAAGGCAGUGGCUCAACCAUUGUAUGCAUUGGAAACUGGUAGACUUGAGUGCAGGAGAGGAGAGUGGAAUUCCAUGUGUAGCGGUGAAAUGCGUAGAUAUAUGGAGGAACACCGGUGGCGAAAGCGGCUCUCUGGCCUGUAACUGACACUGAGGCUCGAAAGCGUGGGGAGCAAACAGGAUUAGAUACCCUGGUAGUCCACGCCGUAAACGAUGAGUGCUAGAUGUAGGGAGCUAUAAGUUCUCUGUAUCGCAGCUAACGCAAUAAGCACUCCGCCUGGGGAGUACGACCGCAAGGUUGAAACUCUAAAGCGAA